GCUCAUGGACGAGCAAAGCAAGUAGUCUCUUGAGAUGGAAUCCACUCCUGGUGAAGAUGCUGUGAA
rnacentral:pre_miRNA from 1 species